ACUCCUACGGGAGGCAGCAGUGGGGAAUAUUGCACAAUGGGCGCAAGCCUGAUGCAGCAACGCCGUGUGAGUGAAGAAGGUUUUCGGAUCGUAAACUCUGUCCUAAGGGAAGAAACAAAUGACGGUACCUUAGGAGGAAGCCCCGGCUAACUACGUGCCAGCAGCCGCGGUAAUACGUAGGGGCAAGCGUUAUCCGGAAUCACUGGGCGUAAAGGGUGCGUAGGCGGCUUAGCAAGCCAGGGUGAAAGGCAUUGGCUCAACCAAUGUAAGCCUUUGGAACUGUUAAGCUUGAGUGCAGGGAGAGGUAAGUGGAAUUCCUAGUGUAGAGGUGAAAUUCGUAGAUAUUAGGAGGAACACCAGUGGCGAAGGCGACUUACUGGACUGUAACUGACGCUGAUGCACGAAAGCGUGGGUAGCGAACAGGAUUAGAUACCCUGGUAGACUGUCA
rnacentral:rRNA from 1 species